UCCGUAGGUUGAUAAUUAAGUCAGAGGUGAAAUCCUGCCGCUCAACGGUAGAAUUGCCUUUGAUACUGGUUAUCUUGAGUUAUUAUGAAGUAGUUAGAAUAUGUAGUGUAGCGGUGAAAUGCAUAGAUAUUACAUAGAAUACCAAUUGCGAAGGCAGAUUACUAAUAAUAAACUGACACUGAUGGACGAAAGCGUGGGGGAGCGAACA
rnacentral:rRNA from 1 species